rnacentral:rRNA from 1 species
GAAUAUUGGACAAUGGGGGGAACCCUUCUCCAGCCAUGCCGCGUGUGUGAAGAAGGCCCUUUGGUUGUUAAGCACUUUAAGCGCGGACGAGGCUACCUGGAUUAAUACUUUCGGCUAGUGCACGUUACUAGCAGUAUAAGCCCCGGCUAACUCUUUCCCAGCAGCCGCGGUAAUACAGAGGGUGCGAGCGUUAAUCGGAUUUACUGGGCGUAAAGCGUGCGUAGGCGGCCAAUUAAGUCAAAUGUGAAAUCCCCGAGCUUAACUUGGGAAUUGCAUUCGAUACUGGUUGGCUAGAGUAUGGGAGAGGAUGGUAGAAGUCCAGGUGUAGCGGUGAAAUGCGUAGAGAUCUGGAGGAAUACCGAUGGCGAAGGCAGCCAUCUGGCCUAAUACUGACGCUGAGGUACGAAAGCAUGGGGAGCAAACA